rnacentral:lncRNA from 1 species
UUUUUUUUUUUUUUUUUUGUGUGCAUGUAUCAGAACAAAGCACAACGGUGGCGAAGGCCGAUAUCCGCCAAGUCCCAUUUCCAGUGCCACGGCCAGGUCCUUGUGAACGGUUUACUUGUAACAUUCUUGCUGCUCUUUCUGGCUUCUGUGACAACAAUGACAAUUGCAUGUGCCUCGAAGCUUGUUAAUGGCGAUGGCACUGCAAAAUUUCCUUUCCCCAACUCGAAGAGGAGAAAGUUUUAAACCUUAAUUAAAUGUUAAAACUUUAUUUCAUACUUGAAGUGUCCCGAAUUAUGGAGCUGAAUUGAUCAUGGGUUUAAUGUGUAAUUUUAUUUGUACAUGACUUGUCAUUAAUUUCUCUAUUACAACUUUAAAAACAUGAAAAAUAAAUACUUUUCAGUUUUGUUCUCAUAGGCUAGCACAAAUUGCUAUCAAACUUGUUAUCAAUGCUAAAUGGGAAUCAACUGACAAGUGGUGCUUAGGGAAUAUGCACAGAAAGAUAAUAGCGCAGUGGACCUGUAAUCAACCUUGAACUUUUUCUAAGGCAAAAUGUAUAAUCAACCCAUGAUCUCAUCAUCUUGUAAUUUCUGGGCUUCAUCACCAUCAUACCUAAAAGCUCCGACCUUAGAGCUUCAAGAUCGACAGGAAGCAAUUAGUUGCAACUUGCAAAGUGUUCUCCAGCCCAAGGCAUAAAAACGAACACAAAAGGCCGAAAAAAAGAAGAAGAAAGAAACCCUUAUGAAUGUUAUUGUUAGGUUGGUAUUUGUGCUCGUCCUACACUGGUUUGUGCUUUGAUUGUUAUAUUUGAAGUUCAUCUUGAUUAGAAACUGCUAAUUCGACCUCUUUUCAAUUUUUGUAGGUAAAAUACCUGAUCAAGUAGGAAAUGGACUGAAAACGGGGAAGGACCAGAGAAAGUCAGGUGCCGGACAAGCCACCAGUCUUAGCGCUGAACAUUGUUGGGUCAAUAAUUAAAAUUGUUUCAAAGCAUGUUCGGGCCCAAACUUGGGGCUAGAUUUCGGGCCAGACAUUUUCUGGAGUUUUUUCAUAUUUUGGCUUAGACAGUGUCAUGGGCCUGACAUUGCGCUGGACAUUGGCGAAAACCUAUUCGAAUUCGACUUUUGACAAUUUUUCAAGACUUAAUCGUAUUGCAUAGUUUAGAGCACUAUAAGUAGGGGGUUGUUUAGAACGUUUUUAGGAGAGGAAAAAAUAUUAGGAAAACUUUAGUUCAUAUUUUUUAUAUUUUCUUCUGGAUCAAGACCAAGAUGAGGAAGAUAAUGAGCAAUCAACAGCUAAAAUUGAGAAGUUUUACUUUUAUCCUCACUCUUGUAUUUAUUUCUUGAAUUCUUAGUUUCAUUCAUGAUUAUUUUGAACUAAUUUAAUUCUAGGGUUAGGGUUUUAUGAAGGAGAUUGGUUAAUUAUUUCAAUUAAAUUCUUUAUAGACAAGCUUCUAGGGUUUGUAUGAAUUGAGAGGAUUAUAUAACAGGACACUAGAUACAUAAAUAUACUAAACCUAAAUACAAGAGUAAAUUAGUAUUUGUAUGAUGUAAUUAAAAUCACUUAAAAUUCUAAAGGGUUCAAUUGAAUAGUUGGGAUCUCAUGAGACAAAAAAUCGAAUUAGGUACAAUUUAGAUGUAUUGAUAGAUAAUAUAAAAUGCUUCUAUAUGAUAUGUUGUUGGAAAAUAUCUGGCUAAUUAAUUCUAACUCUGCAAAAAAUCCUACAAGCCCUAGUUUCUUGCCAAUUGUUUCUCCGGUCUCUUUUCUUUGACUUGAUUGUUUAAUUUAUUUCUUAGAUAAUGAUAAACAAAUCUUCUGAAUUCGAGUUCCAUUGUUUUCUAGAAAAACUAAAGUAAAAAAUUAACUCAUUUCUAUGGAUUCGACCUCUAGAAUACUCUAGAUGAUUUUAUAAUUACGAUUAGCUUGUACACUUGAAAAAAUUAUCAAUAAAUUGUACCCUAUAAAAAUAAACAAAACAAAAGAAAAAACAUCGUGAAUUUUGAUGCAAAACUUUUCUCCUAUUAGGUUUUUAUACAAUUUGGGAUUCUUUGGUAGGAUUGACUGAGUCAGUGCAAAAUAACAUCUUAGAUUUGAGAAAGCAUCCAUUUGCAACCAAAACAAGAUUUCCUUCUCUUUGUUGUAUUUAUUAACGUGUUUUUAAUGUAUUUAUCGCCACUAGUGAGACUAAAUGUGAUUAUUUUAUUUGUGAAAAAAAAAAUAUGCAUUUGGUGUAAACUAGCAACAAGGACCUUUCGUCCUUGUAUCAAUUAUCAAGCAUUCUCAAAGAAUUUAGAUUCCUAAGCAUUAGUGGAAAGUGAAUAGGUAAACAAUAGAUUUCCAUUGAACUUUCGGACAAGAAAUUUACAUCUUUGCUUCGAUGGACAUAAUACCCUUGAGGAUAUAGUCCUAAUGCCUAACUAACGCUAAUAUUAAGAUUCUUGAUAACACCACUUCUUGAGAAUGCCAAGAGAAAUUCUCUUGCCAUGAUUUUAACAUCGUGCCAUUGUUCAUUUGCUACAUAAAGAUAUCUAUUGUCCUAAUUAAUCGAAG